AGAGUUUGAUCAUGGCUCAGAUUGAACGCUGGCGGCAGGCCUAACACAUGCAAGUCGAGCGGAAACGAGAAUAGCUUGCUAUUCGGCGUCGAGCGGCGGACGGGUGAGUAAUGCCUGGGAAAUUGCCCUGAUGUGGGGGAUAACCAUUGGAAACGAUGGCUAAUACCGCAUAAUAGCUUCGGCUUAAAGAGGGGGACCUUCGGGCCUCUCGCUUCAGGAUAUGCCCAGGUGGGAUUAGCUAGUUGGUGAGGUAAAGGCUCACCAAGGCGACGAUCCCUAGCUGGUCUGAGAGGAUGAUCAGCCACACUGGAACUGAGACACGGUCCAGACUCCUACGGGAGGCAGCAGUGGGGAAUAUUGCACAAUGGGCGCAAGCCUGAUGCAGCCAUGCCGCGUGUAUGAAGAAGGCCUUCGGGUUGUAAAGUACUUUCAGCAGUGAGGAAGGGUGUGUAGUUAAUAGCUGCAUACUUGACGUAGCUGCAGAAG
rnacentral:rRNA from 1 species